AUCAUUCCAGAUCUUUCAAGCAAUAGUUCAGACAUACAAUGAAAUACUUACAAAUUCUGUGUCUUCUAAUCGUAUCUCUCCUCGUAAUAACUCCAGCAUUUGGUGAACUGCCUCAUAUAUUCAAGAAGUCAUCGCUUAUGUUUCACCCAUGGUUUGAAAAAAGUGAAGAUGGUAACAUCAAAGGUACCCUCGAUUUAGAGCAUAAAGGACCUCAUCAUAAUUUCGAAGCAUAUUGGAAUAAGGUGCUCAAAGGACCAAAUAAAGGUAAUUCCACCUGGCAUAUUGGUGGUACUUGGAAGUUAAAGAGAUCUCCUAAACAAUCUUGGGAACAAAUUGAAAGAAACAGUUUCUACACUAACCAAUAAUACGAUAUAUCUGUAUUACAGCAACACUACUAUACUUCAGCUUGUCAUUAAAAGAAUUACUUAGUGUAUUUCCUUGUAGUGUAAAAAUAAUAAAUGUUGUAACUGCAUGACAUUUUGAGUUUCAAUUCAAUUAAAUUCAGAAUAUGGAUAACCUCGAGCAAUCCGAUGGAUAUUGCGAAGGAUCUGGAAUAUCAACUUUCUACAUAAAUUGAGACCAUACGGUUAGCCUUCCUCACUUAUUGAUUGGCUUGGUAAUUUGCAAAGACUCGUGAUCCCCAGAGCUGCAUGUGUCACAGGAUAGCACACUGGUGUCGUUUUAUAAAUUAAGCUAACAUAUAAUGACGUAGACAACAGAAUAUUACUAUAAAUGCCGAUCAACAGACACCCAGGCUACUAUUCUUACAAAAAAUACGUAAGCUGCGGCUCCGUACUUGAUCCAGUCUGAAGAUGAAAGCUUCAUAAAAGUUUGGAGCCUUCUUUGACAUCAAAAUAUACUUCGCAACAGCUUCUAAUUCUCGACAAAGCCUAGAUUCGUCCAUCUUGGAGUAUUGCUCGCGCAUUAGGAGCAACUUAGAGCUCAGGAAAAGGUAGUUGAGCUGAAUUUAUUUUACUGAUACUACCAACAACAUUAACACCGAGUUCAAGAAUCUUACUUUUGGAGAAGUCCAAGCCUGUGGAAUCAACUACCAAGGCAUGUCUUACCGAAACACUACAGCCUACAGAAGCUCAAGACCAAUGUGUAUAGGCAUCUAUUCACUGCAGGAAUCACUCGAGCUAAUCAAUAAACAAAAGGAUAAAUCCUAUGGUGUGUGCUUUUCACAUGGAAAAGUUUUCAUUCAUUAUAGUUGAAAGACUGAGAAAUUCUCACUUAAAUUUCAGCCAUUUUGAACGCAUAAACAACUGUAUAAGUGAUUUUUCUGAAAAUUGAGUGCGGCGUUUGCUUACUCUGGACCUAAAGCUCAUUCGAAUGGACAUUUUCAUGGCCUUAUUGACGUGGUUUAAGUGAAAUGAGUUGUUUUUUAUAUCAGGUUAUAGCUUUAGAUGGAACCACCACUAUACACCUGAGUCAAAAAAACAGUCGAGACAAUGGAUUGCAAGGGGCAAACCUGUUGCAAAAAAGUGUUUUCUAUCAGGACAAGCAGGACAAGGCAUCUUCUCACACUUCGGUGAUCCUAAACUUAGAAGAGACUAUUAUGGGAACUAAAAAUGAUUGUGAAAAAAAUAUUUCUUUGUUAGGUCGGAAAUCUUUCAGAUAACCCUCGUAAGUUGCAUCUAGAUGUUUAUUUUUUAUUUCUUAUCCUGCAAUAAGCUCUGCUACACCCUAUAUUAUAUUCAGUUCUAAUUCUGUGUUUUACGUUACAAAAUUAAAUUAAAUCUUUCAACGUUACUGUUAAUUAUGUUAUUAAAAGCGUAGUUAUCUAAUAUUAUUAUCCUGUUCAUAAUAGACAGACAUGUGGGGUUCGAAUUUUGUUCAAUAGCUAUUUAAAUUGAUUGAGUAAACACCUGUAUCUACCUGUUAACCGAUAAAGCGUUCGCUCUCGACUCGAAUUUCAGGAAAUAACAAUAAAACCAGAAAAAUUAUGUUUAUUUUCGAAAAUUACAACGACGCAUAUGUUACAAUUCAUUGUGUAAUCUUUUUUAGCUUCAUACACUUUUUCCAUUGAUGUUCAAUAAUUUUUUUUAUAACAAGAAUCGUCAAGUUCCUAGCCAGUAACUGCCGAUAUCACCUCUUCAUUGUUGGAAAAUCCUUAACCACUGAGCUAUUUGAAGUUUGGGAACUGAAAAUAAUCCGAGGGGGCUAAAUUUGGUGUCAAUAUUGAACAUUUAGCUGUUUAAAAGAUUUGGUAAUGUAGAAAAAAUUCAAUUGCGGUGUUUCAAAAGACGUUUAUAAGAUUGUGUAAAUAAAUAUAGAAAAAAUUCAA